AAAGGAAUUGACGGGGACCCGCACAAGCGGUGGAGCGUGUUGUUUAAUUCGAUGGUAAGCGAAGAACCUUACCAAGGCUUGAAAUCCUGAGAAGCACUGCGAAAGCAGAGUGUGCCUUCGGGAACUCAGUGACAGGUGUUGCAUGGCCGUCGUCAGCUCGUGUCGUGAGAUGUUGGGUUAAGUCCCGCAACGAGCGCAACCCCUAUGUUUAGUUGAAUUUUUCUAAACAGACUGCCCUGGUAACAGGGAGGAAGGAGGGGAUGAUGUCAGGUCAGUAUUACCCUUACGCCUUGGGCUACAAACACGCUACAAUGGCCAGUACAAAGGGUAGCCAAGUCGCGAGACGGAGCAAAUCCCAUCAAAACUGGUCUCAGUUCGGAUAGCAGGCUGAAACUCGCCUGCUUGAAGCUGGAAUCGCUAGUAAUGGUAAGUCAGCACAUUACCGUGAAUACGUUCCCGGGUCUUGUACACACCGCCCGU
rnacentral:rRNA from 1 species